rnacentral:lncRNA from 1 species
ACGGCAGCAACGCAGCUCUCACUCUCUCUCUCUCUCUCUCUCUCAGCUUAGAAAUACCACGACUCCAUCUUCACUGAUAGCCGUUGCUUUGCUUUGCUGAGCAGGUAACCUCUCCCUCUCUCUCAUUUGUAUAUAUUUUUGGUUCUUAGAUAUAAUCUUGAUGUUUUUAUCUCAGAUUCCCUGUUCCAUUAUUCUGUUCAGGGUCGCUGUUUCCACUUCGAGAUCUCUAUCUUGUUCGCUUCAGUUUGAGAAUUGAGAGGUAAUAAUUUCUUGAGUCACCUUUAUGAGUCUUUUUUUUUCCAGAUCUCUAUCCUGUUCCAUUAUUCUUUUUUUUUCUCUUUCGUUGAGGUUCUUUUGACAAAUUCUUUUAGGACUUGUUUGAUUAUUCGGAUUGGUCAAGUAGUCCCCGGACUAGGACUACUUGGCGGACUAACAAAAUCAUGAAACACAGGACUCGUUGUUCCAUGUAUGGAGAACUAUUUGGUCUUUUUGGACUAGUAGUUCGGAGCCAUUUAAAAAAAAUAAACGCAGGAUUGGACUGGAUUUGUAGUCCAGUCCUGCCUAGUCUGGCCUGCCUAGUCUGGCCUAAUCGGGUAAUCAAACAUGCCAGUUUUAGUCUAACCCAAAAACACAUUCUGUUUUUUUUAGAUAUGUAUAUUCGAAUUUUUUCCUCGCAGUGGUGUUUGGUUGUGCCUUGUGAGAGAACCAAUAUUAAAGGUUGCUACCCUGUUUUAUUCAUGUUUUUAGAUAUUUUUGUUUUAUUCAAUCCAAGUUAAUUAAAUGGAAAAAAUGAAGCUCACCAAAAAUUUUACUCAUCCUAUGAGACAGGACAUCGAUGGCUGGCUCACACAGGUCUCCCAAUGAACCAAAUGCUCUGAGGUUUUGUGGAUUCUGUUGUUUUGAAAAGUUUGUGUUUUGGUGGGUUUGGAUGAAGGCUGUGUUCGUUAAUGGAGACAGUAGUUUGAUUUGUUCUUGAUUGAUAUUCUUGUUAAUUUGUGCGCUUUAGGGGGAUUUGUGGUGUUUGAUGUGCUCAAGAGAGUCUUCUUCUGUGUGUUGAUCUUCCCAUUAUAGUACUCUUGUGUUAUUUGGCAUGUAUGUCUAUGAUUAUUUCACUUCUUUCCCUUUUCCUGUAUGUUUAUGUUUAUUCGUUCAUUGUAUGUAUCUGUUUAUGAAGCUGGUUUUCAUUAGAUUCUGCCCCUGAUUUUUGGGUAUGAAAUUUAG